rnacentral:rRNA from 1 species
UACGUAGGGACCAAGCGUUGUUCGGAUUUACUGGGCGUAAAGGGCGCGUAGGCGGCAAUUCAAGUCAUCUGUGAAAUCUCCGGGCUUAACUCGGAAUGGUCAGGUGAUACUGCUUUGCUAGAGUGCAGAAGGGGCAAUCGGAAUUCUUGGUGUAGCGGUGAAAUGCGUAGAUAUCAAGAGGAACACCUGAGGUGAAGACGGGUUGCUGGGCUGACACUGACGCUGAGGCGCGAAAGCUAGGGGAGCAAACGGGAUUAGAUACCCCGGUAGUCCUAGCCCUAAACGAUGAAUACUUGGUGUCUGGAGUUUUUAUCCUCCGGGUGCCGUCGCUAACGUUUUAAGUAUUCCGCCUGGGGAGUACGCACGCAAGUGUGAA